rnacentral:tRNA from 1 species
GGGCGGUUAGCUCAGCUGGUUAGAGCGCUACCUUCACACGGUAGAGGUCAGAGGUUCGAGCCCUCUAUCGCCCACCA